CAAAGUGCUGGGAUUACAGGCAUGAGCCACCGUGCCUGGCCCAGAAAGGAAUGUUUUGUGAGGUAUGAAUGGUUAGUGUGCCUGGGGAGGCCCAUGCAAUGACCUGUUGGAGAAUCUGAUAGCAACAUGGUAAGGCCAGAGUGUGGUACAAUUGCAGGAAGAUGACUCAGGACCUCGGUACCCACAAACAGGAGGCAUCUAUGAGAGGGAGGCGGAGGUAUGCAGUGCCCGAUGGAGACUUUGGGAGGAAGAUCUAAGGAUGGACCUAGCCUUAGAUCUUUGGUCCCCCAGUGAUCAAGAGAGCUCAGAGGAAAAGCUUUCAAACUUAGACCGGGGCAUAGAAAUAAAGGGAAUAACUCUUGAGAUGGUUUCUAAGAAAGAACUAAGUAGCCACACAUUGAUAACAACAGUCAUAUUCCCAGCCUCCCUGUGGUUCCUGACAUGGCUCUGGGCACCUAUGCUUGAGCCAGCAAGCUCAGGCUUCCCACGCUGGGAUCUGCAGACUCACCCCCAGACACCUAUGGAGUUUCAAAUUCUGUCUUUCCCUUUGAUUACUGUUUAAAAUUAGAUUUGUGGUUGCAGGUUCUGGGUCCUCUGGCCAGCCGCUGAGUACCAUAACAUGGUUUCACAAUCUACAUUGGCACUGUGUUUAGAUGGGAUUGGAGCCAAAUAAUGCUAUUUGCAUUGUCACAGGCUAGAGGGAAAAAGAAUAGAGGUGGACUUACUAUGUAAACAAGUAGAGACCAAAGGACGUCACAAAGCAUUGUAUGCCAAAUGUUUUCCUAGUCACUCAAAUGGAAAACUGGUGGAUACGCAGAGUUAACACACAGUCCAUGGGGUACAGGCAUGGAACAUGCUCAAGAAAAAAUAUCUGCCCACAACCCCCAGAGGGAGGUGCAGAUGCCAACCAAGCAAGCCAGAGUCAGGAUCUGGUUCCUGGAGGCUGAAAUCCAGGGAAGCCAGAGAGGAGAGAGCCAGAAGAUGAGUGAGUAUCCAUAUUCUUCAACAGCAGUCCAGUGCUAAGACAGGGCAUGAGGACCAGCUCCACCGGAAACACCAGCCAGCAUCUUAACCGGGGAGGAAGGAAGGUGUGUGCUGGGCAAGUGGGGCACGUGACAGAGUGGAACUGAAGUGGCCGUCACUUGCCCUUAGGCCAGUAGGUUCCUCAGCAGCCUCUGCCCAUAGGCUGGCUUAACUAUGAUCCUGCUAUGGGAAGA